rnacentral:rRNA from 1 species
UACGUAGGGGGCGAGCGUUGUCCGGAAUCACUGGGCGUGAAGCGCGCGUAGGCGGCGCGGCGCAUCCAUCGUGAAAGCCCGCGGCUCAACUGCGGGAGGUCGGUGGAGAUGGUCGCGCUGGAGGGCAGUAGAGGCAGACGGAAUUCCCGGAGGAGCGGUGACAUGCGUAGAGACCGGGAGGAACACCCGUGGCGAAGGCGGUCUGCUGGGCUGGCCCUGACGCUGAGGCGCGAAAGCCAGGGGAGCGAAUGGA